CCAAUUUUCGAAACAACACUUUAAUUUUUCAAAAUUUUAAAUUUUUAGAUUUUUAGAAUAAAUUUAGUAAAAGAUAUUGUUAGUAGAAAGAGAGAUUUCAAAUGGAAUAAACCAAUGGUUUAAAAAGCGGAUCGGUGCCCUAGGGUGUAUUAUUACAACCUAACUAACUAUAAUAUUACAUCAUUUAUUCCUAGAGUAUAUUAAGAAAUACUUGUUGUAUUUAUAAAUAUCUUUUAUUUUUUUUACAAUAAAUCUUUGUUGUAUUAUCUUUGUUUUUUUGCUAAAAAAAAUAUGAUAUUUGUUGGAUUAUUUUUUAUUUUAUUUUUUAACAAAAAAAUUAAGAAGACGUACUACAUUUUUUUUUUUUUGUAUUAUUUUUUGACAAGAAAUACGUUAGAUUACUCUC
rnacentral:lncRNA from 1 species